ensembl:lncRNA
GUCCCACAGUAUCACAGAGAGGUCAGACAGGUGGAGUAGUCCCACAGUAUCACAGAGAGGUCAGACAGGUGGAGUAGUCCCACAGUAUCACAGAGAUCAGACAGGUGGAGUAGUCCCACAGUAUCACAGAGAGGUCAGACAGGUGGAGUAGUCCUACAGUAUUACAGAGAGGUCAGACAGGUGGAGUAGUCCCACAGUAUCACAGAGAUCAGACAGGUGGAGUAGUCCCACAGUAUCACAGAGAGGUCAGACAGGUGGAGUAGUCCCACAGUAUCACAGAGAGGUCAGACAGGUGGAGUAGUCCCACAGUAUCACAGAGAGGUCAGACAGGUG